UACGCGAGUCAUUGGGACUUGACGAAACCUAAAGGCGAAAUGAAAGUAAAGGGCUCGCCUUGUGCGGCCCUAGGGCGGAUGGAUGGUCCUCGUGGCCGUCCCGCACGCCCGGGGCGUCCCGUUCUCAUUGCGAGAUGGGGCGCACCCAGAGCGUACACGCUGGGACCCGAAAGAUGGUGAACUAUGCCUGGUCAGGACGAAGUCAGGGGAAACCCUGAUGGAGGUCCGUAGCGAUUCUGACGUGCAAAUCGAUCGUCGGAACUGGGUAUAGGGGCGAAAGACUAAUCGAACCAUCUAGUAGCUGGUUCCCUCCGAAGUUUCCCUCAGGAUAGCUGGCGCUCGCUGUUGCGAGUCUCAUCCGGUAAAGCGAAUGAUUAGAGGCAUUGGGGUCGAAACGGCCUCAACCUAUUCUCAAACUUUAAAUGGGUGAGAUCUCCGGCAUACUUGAACGUGAUGCCGCGAGAAUUCGGAUCAGAGUGCCAAGUGGGCCACUUUUGGUAAGCAGAACUGGCGCUGUGGGAUGAACCAAACGCCGAGUUAAAGCGCCAAAAUCGACGCUUAUGGGAUACCAUGAAAGGCGUUG
rnacentral:rRNA from 1 species